rnacentral:tRNA from 1 species
GUGGGCGUAGCUCAGCUGGUAGAGCUCUCGGUUGUGGUCCGGGCGGUCGCGGGUUCGAACCCCGUCGCUCACCCCA